rnacentral:tRNA from 1 species
GCGGAAGUGGCGGAACUGGCAGACGCGUACGCUUCAGAAGCGUAUGACCGUAAGGUUAUGAGGGUUCAACUCCCUCCUUCCGCACCA